AGAGUUUGAUCCUGGCUCAGGAUGAACGCUGGCGGCGUGCUUAACACAUGCAAGUCGAACGGUGAACACGGAGCUUGCUCUGUGGGAUCAGUGGCGAACGGGUGAGUAACACGUGAGCAACCUGCCCCUGACUCUGGGAUAAGCGCUGGAAACGGCGUCUAAUACUGGAUAUGUGACGUGACCGCAUGGUCUGCGUUUGGAAAGAUUUUUCGGUUGGGGAUGGGCUCGCGGCCUAUCAGCUUGUUGGUGAGGUAAUGGCUCACCAAGGCGUCGACGGGUAGCCGGCCUGAGAGGGUGACCGGCCACACUGGGACUGAGACACGGCCCAGACUCCUACGGGAGGCAGCAGUGGGGAAUAUUGCACAAUGGGCGAAAGCCUGAUGCAGCAACGCCGCGUGAGGGAUGACGGCCUUCGGGUUGUAAACCUCUUUUAGCAGGGAAGAAGCGAAAGUGACGGUACCUGCAGAAAAAGCGCCGGCUAACUACGUGCCAGCAGCCGCGGUAAU
rnacentral:rRNA from 1 species